CACGUAGUUAGCCGUCCCUUUCUGGUAAGAUACCGUCACAGCGUGAACUUUCCACCCUCACACUCGUUCUUCUCUUACAACAGAGCUUUACGAUCCGAAAACCUUCUUCACUCACGCGGCGUUGCUCGGUCAGACUUCCGUCCAUUGCCGAAGAUUCCCUACUGCUGCCUCCCGUAGGAGUCUGGGCCGUGUCUCAGUCCCAGUGUGGCCGAUCACCCUCUCAGGUCGGCUAUGUAUCGUCGCCUUGGUGAGCCGUUACCUCACCAACUAGCUAAUACAACGCAGGUCCAUCUCUUAGUGAUGCAGUUGCACCUUUCAAAUCAACAUCAUGCAAUGUCGACUUUUAUGCGGUAUUAGCUAUCGUUUCCAAUAGUUAUCCCCCGCUAAGAGGCAGGUUACCUACGCGUUACUCACCCGUUCGCAACUCAUCCGGAAAGAGCAAGCUCCUUCCUUCAGCGUUCACUUGCAUGUAUUAGGCACGCCGCCAGCGUUCAUCC
rnacentral:rRNA from 1 species